UGGCACAUUCCCCUAUCGGCUGAUAUCUUCAAAUUUAGUACCAUAGGCGUAAUGCAGUCUACAUCCAAGCUCCUGUUCCUGAAGGAAUCAGAGAAUACUUCCUCUGGGAGAGAAAGAUAAACAGGGUGAACCGAGCAACCUCAAUACCAAGGAAGUAGCGAAGAGGACCUCAGAUCCUUAAUGUCAAAGCUUUCUUCUUGAGUUUCCACAUUUCCCCUGAAACUAUGCAGAAGCGGUCAUCUCCCGUGAUAAUAAUAUCAUCACAUAAAAUGAGAUAAUAAUGCAAAUGCCCGAACCCGGAGACUGACGCGAAUAAAGCAGUAUGAUCUGAGUGGCACUGCUGAAAAUCCAUAAGACAAGAACCUCACUUAACCUCACUGAAGUGUGGAACCAGCCCGAGGAGACGUUUUACGGCCAUAGAUAGAUUUUCGUUAGGGACAAACAUUCCCCGAAUACUCCCCCCUGAGCCCAAAAAACCUGGAGUGGACCAUAGUAUAUAGUCCCGAGAGAUCACCAUUAAGGAAAGCAUUCUUGACAUCCAAUUGGUGAAGCUGCCAUGAAUUAGAAUCAGCGAGGGAAACCAGAAGACGAAUGGGUGUUUAAUUUUGCAACUGGGGCAAACGUAGCACCAAAAUCGCCUUCCCGGAAAUCUGAGUAAAACCUUAGCAACAGGCGAGCCUUAUAAAUCGUCAAACUGAGCCAUCUUCCAAAUACUGACACUACACACCCAGUUACACCCACCAAGUGCGCUCUCCUUUUGGCAAAGCAACAGGAUCCCCAGUGCGAUUGAGCUGAAGAGCCUCCAUCUCCGUCUUCAUGGCAUACACCCAUUAGGAUUCUGAGAGCUCAUGGACUGCGCGAGGGAUCGAAUCGAAUCACCUGACAAGAAAAGACUUAUAGGAAUCUGAAAGACCGGGAUAAGGCUAUAUUGUGCAAUAGAUUUUAAUACUAUUGAAAAAAAGAAAACGGGAGGGGGGACGACGAACACGUUUGGGUACCGGGGUGGGGAAUAUCAAAAAAACUAAAGGAGAGACAUACCUGACUCCGAGAAGAAUGCUGGCAAGGAGCCUGAGGCUGUGGGUACCUGGGGUCCUGAGAGGCAAAACGGGGCAGGGAGCCCUUGUUUGGAGUAGAUGAAGGAGGCUCAAGUUAUAGGAAGGCGGACGAGGAGGUAUGGGGUCAUCUGCCUGCACGGAUCUCAGAACUAGGAUCGGAGAAGGAGAGAAUCAAAAAAUGGAAUCAUUUUCCAAAAACGUGACAUCUACCGAGUGAUACAUAUACGAUUGAACAUGAGAUAUAACACCUAUACCCUUUGGAACAUCGGGAAUACCCUAGCAACAUACAACGUAACGGCCUUAUCAUCAAGUUUGGGGUACGGUGGGCUUCGAUUUUGACAAACAAUGUUCACUCCAAAGCACGCGAGGAAUAAUAGGGAAAUAGGGGUCUAGUACGUCUGAUAAGAGUAUGUGGAGUGAGUACAGCCUUGCCUUGUAGUACCCGCUGGGACAGUCCGGACUUUGAUAAGAUAGGUAGCAUGAGAACAGCCAUGUGCCAAAAAUACUUAGUGAAACUCCAUUACCGGUACCCCGUAAGUAGCAACCGAACUACGGACAUAAUCUGAACGAUUUUUACGCUCAGCUCCUCCAUUCUGCUCAUGGGGUGUAAAGGACACGUGAGUUGUUGAAGGAUACCACAUUUCUUAAGUUCUAAAGCACGAAAUUCUUACAGUGAUAGCACUCAGUUACCAGUUAUCUGACCGAAUUGUUACCACAAUAGUGUUAUCGUUUUUUGGAUCUUUUGUAGAAUGGGUAAAGUGAGAAAAUACCUCAGACUUAUACGCAAGGUAGACCCAAGUACAACGAGUGUAAUCACUAUGCAGGUUACAUAAUCGCGGUGUUGAGAGAGAGCAGUAACUGAAGAUGGACCCCAUACUCUGAAUGAAUACGAUCAAAAGCACCUAGGUGUGCAACGGCACGAGGAAUAUAUGAAGUACGGUAUGUUUAUGAUAACAUCACAAAAUGACACUUUAAUUAAAUUUUUGACAUGCUUUAUGGAAAGAGGGAAAGAUGCACAUAAAUAUUGAAAGUUUAGCAUUGUCCCUAAACGAGCAUCACAAAUCUAAGGUUUGAAAAGAGAAACAGACGACUUUAAACCGAAGGACUUCACACCACGACUCUAAAACUGGUGGAGAGAACUUAAGCUAGCCGACAACGUACGAGAUGGUAAAGGAUCCCCAAAAGUCGUAUAGUCCAUCUCGCUCAUACCCCCUGCCAAAAAUCUUCUUCAAGACAGUCCUGCAAGUAACAAAUAGAUUGUAAGUAAAACACGGCACAAUUAAGAUCUUUUGCCAGACGACUGACAGAAAGAAUAUUAUAGGCAAAAUGUGGACAUGUAAACAGAUGAAAGGGUAAUAUCGGAGGAUAGCGCGCAUCUUCUCCACCUGACUAUGAAUGGGAAUGGAUGAUCCAUCAGCAAAUACAAACCGAUUGAUUCACAGAAG
rnacentral:lncRNA from 1 species